GUUACCAUAGAAACGAGGCAGCGCCCCAAAAUGGGGUCGGGGUUGUCAUAGAGAUGGGGCUGCGCCCCAAAAUGGGGGGGGUCGGGGUUACCGUGGAGAUGGGGCAGCACCCCCAAAAUGGGGCCGCGGUUACCAGAGAGAUGGGGUAUCACCCCAAAAUGGAGUCAGGGUUUUCAUGGAGGUGGGGCAGCACCCCAAAAUGGGGCUCAGGGUUACUAUGGAAAUGGGGCAGCACCCCAAAAUGGAGCCAUGGUUACCAUAGAGAUGGGGUAUCACCCCAAAAUGGAGUCAGGGUUUUCAUGGAGGUGGGGCAGCACCCCAAAAUGGGGCUCAGGGUUACUAUGGAAAUGGGGCAGCACCCCAAAAUGGGGCCACGGUUACCACAGAGAUGGGGUAUCACCCCGAAAUGGAGUCAGGGUUACUGUGGAGAUGGGGCUGCGCCGCAAAAUGGGGGGGUGGGGUUACCAUGGAAAUGGGGCAGCACCCCAAAAUGGGGUCAGGAUUUCCAUGGAGAUGGGAUAUCACCCCAAAAUGGUGCCACGGUUACCAUAGAGAUGGGGUAUCACCCCGAAAUGGAGUCAGGGUUACCGUGGAGAUGGGGCAGCACCCCAAAAUGGGGGAGUGGGGUUACCACGGGAAUGGGGCAGCACCCCAAAAUGGGGUCAUGGUUUCCAUGGAGAUGGGAUAUCACCCCAAAAUGGAGUCAGGGUUACCGUGGAGAUGAGGCAGCACCCCAAAAUGGGGGGCAGGGGUACUGUGGAAAUGGGGCAGCACCCCAAAAUGGGGUCAGGGUUUCCGUGGAGGUGGGGCAACACCCCAAAAUGGGGCUUGGGGUUACUGUGGAAAUGGGGCAGCACCCCAAAAUGGGGUCAGGGUUACCAUGACGAUGGAGCUGCCUCCCAAAAUGGGGGUUAGGGGUUGCCAUAGAGACGGGGCGGCACCCCAAAAUGGGGUCAAUAUUACCAUGGAGAUGCAGCAUCCACUGCCUGUACUUUAAGAGGGGGGGGGAAAUAAAUCUCUACCAGCCCCCCA
rnacentral:lncRNA from 1 species